rnacentral:rRNA from 1 species
UGUGUGAAGAUAUACACAGUUUGGCCUGCUCACUGAAUUUAAUUAAAGAGCCGCAGUAUUUUGACUGUGCGAAGGUAGCAUAAUAGAUUGUCUUUUAAAUGGAGGCUUGAAUGAAUGGUUGGACAAAAUAUUAUCUGUUUCUAAGGUAUAAUUUGAAUUUGACUUUUAAGUGAAAAGGCUUAAAUAAAAUAAAAAGACGAUAAGACCCUAUAAAUCUUAAUAAAAUUUAUACGGUAAAAAUUAAUUGUAAGUGAAUAUUUUUAUCUUAUAAAAUUUAUUUCGCUGGGGCGGCGUAGAUAUUUAGUUUAAACUGUCUAUAAAUUUAGUUCAGUAAUUUCUGAUUAAUAACUUGAUCCUUUUAGAGAUUAAAAGAUUAAGAUACUUUAGGGAUAACAGCGUUAUUUUUUCUGAGAGUUCUUAUCGAAGAAAAAGUUUGCGACCUCGAUGUUGAAUUAAAGUUUCUUUUUGGUGCAGGAGUUAAAAAAGAUAGUCUGUUCGACUUUUAAUACUUUACGUGAUCUGAGUUCAGACCGGA